rnacentral:lncRNA from 1 species
CAGGGAAUGUGUGGAUUGUGGGGGUGAAUAUUGUGCUUGCUUUGAGUGAAAAUGAGAGAGAAGCAAAGAAAAUAGGAAAUUAUACUCAUCUAGAUUUAACAAGAAAGUUGCAGCAGGGCACUGAGCAAGAGGCUAAGCAGACCUCUUUAUAACAUAGUGGUCUGCGUCUAUGUUAGUGCAUGUAUUUCUGCAGAAAGACCUAGGAGUUCCUUGACUAAACAGGUACAAAACAAAAUUGAGACAUAAUACUGAAACUUAAAAAAAUAGUGCUUUUAAAAUAAAGCAGUAAUCCAGGCAUGAAGGUUAUGCACAGGGACAUUUUUGAAAAUACUCCAUCCUAGCAUCAGCCCCCUUUUUUUUUUUUUUUUUUAAAGGCUGAAAGCUAGUGAAGUUGUAGAAACUGGUAGAAGGAAGUUUAUUUUUUCAAAUACUUUCUUCAAAUACUAGAAACAGGUACAGACCACUUUCCUUUAAAAAAACUGUAAUUUAUAAUAAACUGUUCCCUAAUCACUCACAUAUUCAGCACAGCUGGUUUACUUAGUCUCUCAUUCAUAAGAAAGCAAUAUCACAGCAUGGUAGCAGGAAAUAAAAGGGAUUUACAAAGAACUGGUCACAGAAGAGGUUAAGUACAAAAUCUAAUUAAAAAUACUUCAAAAUGUGAUUUAGUCUCUGUAACAGUGUAGUGGAUUUAUUUUAGGGAAUACUUGAUGCUUCGAUAAUUACUGACAGAAGCAUGUAUUCCAAGUUUGUCUUUGCUAUGUAUUUUCACAGGGAAAAUGAAGAGAUACCUGAUUUUGCACCAGCUUCAGGGGAAGAGAGAAGAGACAUGCUGUAUUCCUAGAUUUUAAAAGGAAAUGAGGUGACAGGAAGAAAUGGUGAGAAAUCAUAGGCUAUUUCAUUUUCUUCUUAGUUCUGCUUUUGAAUAAUCAGAUGUAUUAUUAUUUUCUUUUUUUUUUUUAAUUCAUCUUAUUAAACCAUUUUUUUUCUCUGUACUUUUUGUUUAUUUUAGUUAUCAAAGACCUAAGAAAUAGUUUUACUAAAUGUGUAGCUCAGACACACAAUACAUUGGUGGAAUUCAGUCACUGGGAAAUAAGAAGUUGUAAUCCCAGAAAAUGUAUGCAGGUAUUAAAACUAGCUG